rnacentral:rRNA from 1 species
UUUUAAAGCUGGCGUCUUCGGCGCCCGCGUUGUAAUUUGGAGAGGCAUCUUCGGUUUGGGCGCCAGCCUAUGUUCCUUGGAACAGGACGUCACAGAGGGUGAGAAUCCCGUGCUUGGCUGGCUGUCCCUUGCCAUGUGAAGUGCCUUCGACGAGUCGAGUUGUUUGGGAAUGCAGCUCAAAAUGGGUGGUAAAUUCCAUCUAAAGCUAAAUAUUGGCGGGAGACCGAUAGCGCACAAGUAGAGUGAUCGAAAGAUGAAAAGCACUUUGAAAAUAGAGUUAAAAAGUACGUGAAAUUGUUGAAAGGGAAGCGCUUGAGACCAGACUCGGCCGGAGAUGAUCAGCCGUCCUUCUGGGCGGUGCACUUGUCUCCGGUCGGGCCAGCAUCGGUUGAGACGGCGGGAUAAAGGCUCGGGGAAUGUGGCUCCUUUCGGGGAGUGUUAUAGCCCCGGGCGCAAUGCCGCCAGCCUCGACCGAGGACCGCGCUUUUUGCUAGGAUGCUGGCGUAAUGGUCUUCAGCGACCCGUCUUGAAACACGGACCAAGGAGUCUAACAUCUAUGCGAGUGUUUGGGUGUCAAACCCUUGCGCGUAAUGAAAGUGAACGGAGGUGGGAACCCCCUCGCGGGGCGCACCAUCGACCGGUCCUGAUGUCUUCGGAUGGAUCUGAGUAGGAGCAUAGCUGUUGGGACCCGAAAGAUGGUGAACUAUGCCUGAAUAGGGUGAAGCCAGAGGAAACUCUGGUGGAGGCUCGCAGCGGUUCUGACGUGCAAAUCGAUCGUCAAAUUUGGG